UACAAAAGUAGACAAAUCCACGGU
rnacentral:siRNA from 1 species